rnacentral:lncRNA from 1 species
UUCAUAAUAGCAAGGAAUCAAAAAAGGCAUCGGUCUCUCAAUAUUCUUCGAAAAUCAUUCCAAAAUAUUUCUCACCGCUUCAAAUCUGGCGAACAUAUAUCAACAAUGAAUAGAACCGCUUCCAUUGCAGUGGCACCAAAAAUUGAUAAUAAAUCAACAAUCAACAAGGAGAAGAAACAACCCAGCAACCGUUUCAAGCUAAAUCUCAAUUCCAGAUGCAAUAGCGAGAAGAAAUCAAUUUAACCAUCUGUGAGAAAGAUAUGAAGGUACAAAGCUUCAUAUUUUGUUGGUAUUUGUCUUUAUCAAUUUAAUCAAUUUGACUUUUACAUCAUUUGUCCUAUGGAAAGAGGAAAAAAACUGGGAAUAACAUCUCCAACCGGUGUUUGCAGCAUUUAUAAAAUUUAUAAUUCUGUUUCUACAAAAAAUGAUGGAUGUAUUAGAGUGACAAAAUGAGCUAAUCAACAAAAGGAAAGUGUUUUUCUUGUGAUUUUAUCGGAUAAAAGAAUGACAAUUCAGAAGAAGAUAUAAGAGAGAGGAAAUGUGAUAUGUCAAGAUGAUGGUAAGGUAAAAACUAGCUUUUUUAAUUUCUAUUUUUAUAUUUGCUAUGAACUUUUGCUGAAGAGCAAAGACAUGAUAAAUAGGAGUUGAGAAAUUUUUUUCAAAAAGGUUAAAUAGUGUAUUUCUUCCCUCAUUUUGCAGCGUAUUUUUAUAUUGGUUAUGAAUCUAAUGAUUGUUCUUUAGCUGUAUGAUAGUAAAAAUGCAGAAAAGAUAGUGUAACAAUAACAAUUCCUCAACUGAACAAGAAGACAAUAAAUAAAGGGUGAAAAAAUAAAAGACAUCAGAGUGGUAGGAAAAUCUUUGUUAAGGUAUUAUUCUGUUAAUUUUUAAGAAUGGGAAGAAUAUUUUAGGUGUAUAUCAAUCCUAAGUUUCCUUUGGUAUGUAAUAAUGAUAACCAUUUUACUUUUCCUUUACCUUUUAAGACCGAUUCUUCGAUGACCAAUUGUGUUACAUUUGCAUCUUUGCCUUCUUCCCUUAGUUAUUUUCAACUUUCUAGCUUUGCUUCUGCCUGUUGCAAGAAGAUAUUCAACGAAUCACACGUGACGAUGGUUGAUUACUAAUGUAUCUUCUGAUAUGUUCAUUUCAUUUGUUAAAUGCUGACUAAUCUGGAGAUUUCACGCUGAGCCAUGUUCUUUUUCUUAAUCUAAUAGAUGGAGGCAUUUUUCCUUGAAAAAACUCGAUUUGUUAGGAUACUUGUCUGUCUUAAUAUCUAGGAGUGAAUUUUUCAUUUUUUGCCUGUGCUUCUUGAUUAGAAAAUUGUCGAAUGCUAUCCUAAUGACUUUAUUUGUGAAAUAAAUUAUUUGUCAAUUAAACAGAGUAUCGUUACCCAAAGUUUGUGAUAGCAGUAUUUUAAUAUUUUUGUAGUUUGAAUGCAAUAGUAUUCUCUUGAUUGCUUCUUAAAUUACUGUGUCAUUUGUUUAUGUAGAACUUGGAUGUGAAUUGAAUUUAUUUAUUUUUACUAAAAGAGAAGGCUUAGCUUGCAAGUUGCAGUGUAUGUGUAAAGUAAUAUAAUACUUUGUGGAUGACUAUGUGGUUGAUUAUUUUUCUGGAAAAUAUGUGAAUUGUCUGUGUAGAAUCCACCUAUUAUGACUCUAUUAUUUGAGUACCUCAAUCUAAUAUGACACUAUUUUUUUACCUUCCUGUAGGUAUUUGAUCUAAUUAUGGGACGAAAAUUUUGAUAUGUA